AAACACUUGGCCACCUGAGAAGUAUAAUGAGAUCUUUCCAUCCUUGCAGCCUUUUUCCAGAAACCUUGAAACACAGAAUGGAUGUAGUGACUGGAUAUAGAAAAAUGUAGCGACCAGGAAGAAUAACCAUCUAACCUUUUAAUGAAAAUUUCAAGAAAGCCUACAAAAACAUCGAGACUUCUCUUACAAUGAAAAAGCGUCAUAAAGAACCCACAGGCGAUCUGAAACAGGUGUGGACUUUCAGAUGUAAAUACAAUAAAGAGAAAAUAGCAACGAGAAGAGAACAAAGUUGUCUGUCAACAUGACUUCUAUGACAGAUUUUUCUUGCUGUUCAGCAACGAUUCUAAUUCAAUUGCUGGCUGCUGUGAAGGAGAUGAGAUGCCAGAAGCAGAAGCGCUGCAAACCAGAACAAAAAAUAAUUACUAGUAGAAAUGUGCUGCAAAUAACUCCCUUGA